CAUCAAAAGAUCGUAUUUCUUCAGCAUGUUUGGAUGAUUAACUCGAUUCCUACUUGUGUUACAGUUCAAUAACAUGUUUCUCUGUUAAAUGUGCUCUGUUUGGAUGGAUAAUUCCACUUGAACCGUCAGCGGCGGACUAUAACAGAUCAUAAUCGCAGUUGUUUGGUGCAAGACCAUAGAAUGGUACCCAAUUUUGCUUGCCCUCAUUAGUCAUCACAAUAUAAAGGAUUUUACAUUUAGAAGACAAUCCUGCAAAUUUGCAGCUGUACAAAUUUUCUUCAUCUCAUCUGCUGCUGGAAUAAAUAAUGAAAGAUUUUCAAACCAGUGUCCAAGAGCCCCCUAGAGUCUGGAAUGAUGGUGUUCUUUAUUAAGGAGAUCAGUGUGUGAUGUAUUUGUUUUCUGUGCAUUGAUGACAUUUGUGAAACUGUUCGGUUACUUGAAAUUCAAUUUGAGCAAUGGACAAGCAGGCCAAAUAAUAUGCAUAUAAAACAUACAACUGUAAUAAGACAUUGAUAAACUUCAAUUUAAACUAACUACAUGUACAUGUAUCUUUGAGCUUGGCAUUGAAAUACAUGUAUACU